rnacentral:rRNA from 1 species
AGCGGGAAGUAGUUUACUACUUUGCCGGCGAGCGGCGGACGGGUGAGUAAUGUCUGGGAAACUGCCUGAUGGAGGGGGAUAACUACUGGAAACGGUAGCUAAUACCGCAUAACGUCUUCGGACCAAAGUGGGGGACCUUCGGGCCUCACGCCAUCGGAUGUGCCCAGAUGGGAUUAGCUAGUAGGUGGGGUAAUGGCUCACCUAGGCGACGAUCCCUAGCUGGUCUGAGAGGAUGACCAGCCACACUGGAACUGAGACACGGUCCAGACUCCUACGGGAGGCAGCAGUGGGGAAUAUUGCACAAUGGGCGCAAGCCUGAUGCAGCCAUGCCGCGUGUGUGAAGAAGGCCUUCGGGUUGUAAAGCACUUUCAGCGAGGAGGAAGGCCAAUAACUUAAUACGUUGUUGGAUUGACGUUACUCGCAGAAGAAGCACCGGCUAACUCCGUGCCAGCAGCCGCGGUAAUACGGAGGGUGCAAGCGUUAAUCGGAAUUACUGGGCGUAAAGCGCACGCAGGCGGUUUGUUAAGUCAGAUGUGAAAUCCCCGCGCUUAACGUGGGAACUGCAUUUGAAACUGGCAAGCUAGAGUCUUGUAGAGGGGGGUAGAAUUCCAGGUGUAGCGGUGAAAUGCGUAGAGAUCUGGAGGAAUACCGGUGGCGAAGGCGGCCCCCUGACAAAGACUGACGCUCAGGUGCGAAAGCGUGGGGAGCAAACA